rfam:Myotis brandtii contig215820, whole genome shotgun sequence.
AGUGGUUUUUGGUGACACACCCCAGAACUGAGCUCUCUCCUCUCUGGUUCUGGGUGCAUCACCCGAGAACCACA